rnacentral:tRNA from 2 species
AAGGAGUAAUUGUUGGGCUUCUAACCCGAUAUAGAUGUUUGUUCAUUGCUUCUUU